rnacentral:rRNA from 1 species
UACGUAGGGGGCAAGCGUUGUCCGGAUUUAUUGGGCGUAAAGCGCGCGUAGGCGGCGCGGUAUGUCGUGCGUGAAAUCUCCCGGCUUAACUGGGAGGGGCCGUGCGAAACUGCCGGGCUUGAGGUCGGAAGGGGAAAGUGGAAUUCCGGGUGUAGUGGUGGAAUACGUAGAUAUCCGGAGGAACACCAGCGGCGAAGGCGGCUUUCUGGUCCGAUACUGACGCUGAGGUGCGAAAGCGUGGGGAGCAAACAGG